UACGGAGGAUGCGAGCGUUAUCCGGAUCUAUUGGGUUUAAAGGGUGCGCAGGCGGAUUUUUAAGUCAGCGGUCAAAUCGUGGGGCUCAACCCCAUCCAGCCGUUGAAACCGGGCGACUUGAGUGCAGAAGAGGACAGUGGAACUCCAUGUGUAGCGGUGGAAUGCGUAGAUAUAUGGAAGAACACCAGUGGCGAAGGCGGCUGUCUGGUCUGCAACUGACGCUGAGGCUCGAAAGCAUGGGUAGCGAACAGG
rnacentral:rRNA from 1 species